UACGGGGGGGGCAAGCGUUGUUCGGAAUUACUGGGCGUAAAGGGCUCGUAGGCGGCCAACUAAGUCAGCUGUGAAAUCCCUCAGCUUAACUGGGGAACUGCGCCUGAUACUGGUUGACUUGAGUUUGGGAGAGGGACGCGGAAUUCCAGGUGUAGCGGUGAAAUGCGUAGAUAUCUGGAGGAACACCGGUGGCGAAGGCGGCGUCCUGGACCAAUACUGACACUGAGGAGCGAAAGCCAGGGGAGCAAACGGG
rnacentral:rRNA from 1 species